rnacentral:rRNA from 1 species
GACGAACGCUGGCGGCGUGCCUAAUACAUGCAAGUCGAACGAAGCUGUUUUAACUGGUGCUUGCACCGACUUAAACAACUGAGUGGCGAACGGGUGAGUAACACGUGGGUAACCUGCCCCAAAGCGGGGGAUAACAUUUGGAAACAGAUGCUAAUACCGCAUAACCACAGAAACCACAUGGUUUCUGUGUCAAAGAUGGUUUCGGCUAUCACUGUGGGAUGGACCCGCGGCGUAUUAGCUAGUUGGUAAGGUAAUGGCUUACCAAGGCAAUGAUACGUAGCCGAACUGAGAGGUUGAUCGGCCACAUUGGGACUGAGACACGGCCCAAACUCCUACGGGAGGCAGCAGUAGGGAAUCUUCCACAAUGGACGAAAGUCUGAUGGAGCAACGCCGCGUGAGUGAAGAAGGUUUUCGGAUCGUAAAACUCUGUUGUCAGAGAAGAACGUGUGCGAGAGUAACUGUUCGUGCAGUGACGGUAUCUGGCCAGAAAGCCUCGGCUAACUACGUGCCAGCCGCCGCCGUAA